rnacentral:rRNA from 1 species
UACGGGGGGAGCAAGCGUUGUUCGGAUUUACUGGGCGUAAAGCGUGCGUAGGUGGUUCAGCAAGUUGAAGGUGAAAUCCCCGGGCUCAACCUGGGAACUGCCUCCAAAACUACUGAGCUAGAGUACGGUAGAGGGUAGUGGAAUUUCCGGUGUAGCGGUGAAAUGCGUAGAUAUAGGAAGGAACACCAGUGGCGAAGGCGACUACCUGGACUGAUACUGACACUGAGGUGCGAAAGCGUGGGGAGCAAACAGG